AUCGAGUUGCAGGGGGUGAGGUGAGAGGGGUGAGGUGAGGGGGGGUGAGGUGAAGGGUGAGGCGAGGCGGCCUCUUGAGUUCGCUCCGCGGCGCGUGGAGUCGGCCACAGGGAGACGAGGAGGAGGAAUGAGUGGAAACGGAAGCUGAGUAAAGGAGAUGGGAAGAUGGAAAAUGCAGAGACACGCUCCGAGUCCCUGGGAUCAGAAACGCAGAGAACCACACAGCAGAUGCAACCAUGAAGACCGGGGUGUCUCCCCCGUCCCCGCGCUGUGCGAUGGCCUCUCGCGCUUCUUCACUCCUAGCGAGACGACACGGCGCCCCCGGGCAGCGACCACGCGGACGAGACACGGACAGGGAAGAGAGACACAGGGAGGAGAGACACAGGGAGCAGGGGGAGGAGAGACACGGGGAGUAGGAGGAGGAGAGACACAGGGAGCAGGAGGAGGAGAG